UACCAGCUCUCCGAGUGGUAGGGAUGAUUAUUGGGCUUAAAGCGUCCGUAGCCGGCUUAGCAAGUUUCCUGUUAAACUCUGCGACUUAAUCGUUGAAUCGCGGGAGAUACUACUAGGCUAGGAGGCGGGAGAGGUCAACGGUACUUCUGGGGUAGGGGUGAAAUCCUAUAAUCCCGGGAGGACCACCAGUGGCGAAGGCUGUUGUCUAGAACGCGCUCGACGGUGAGGGACGAAAGCUGGGGGAGCGAACCGGAUUAGAUACCCGGGUAGUCCCAGCUGUAAACGAUGCGGGCUAGGUGUUGGGAUGGCUACGUGCCAUUUCAGUGCCGCAGGGAAGCCAUUAAGCCCGCCGCCUGGGGAGUACGGCCGCAAGGCUGAAACUUAAAGGAAUUGGCGGGGAGCACCACAAGGCGUGAAGCUUGCGGUUC
rnacentral:rRNA from 1 species